rnacentral:rRNA from 1 species
UACGUAGGGUGCAAGCGUUGUCCGGAAUUAUUGGGCGUAAAGAGCUCGUAGGCGGUUUGUCGCGUCUGCUGUGAAAACUCGGGGCUUAACCCCGGACCUGCAUCCGAUACUGCGUGACUAGAGGUAGGUAGGGGAGAUCGGAAUUCCUGGUGUAGCGGUGAAAUGCGCAGAUAUCAGGAGGAACACCGGUGGCGAAGGCGGAUCUCUGGGCCUUACCUGACGCUCAGGCGCGAAAGCUAGGGGAGCGAACAGG